GACGAACGCUGGCGGCGUGCUUAACACAUGCAAGUCGAACGGACAGGCCCUGCUUUUGUGGGGUGCUCGAGUGGCGAACGGGUGAGUAACACGUGAGUAACCUGCCCUUGACUUUGGGAUAACUUCAGGAAACUGGGGCUCAUACCGGAUAGGAGCUCCUGCUGCAUGGUGGGGGUUGGAAAGUUUCGGCUGUUGGGGAUAGACUCGCGGCUUAUCAGCUUGUUGGUGGGGUAGUGGCUUACCAAGGCUGUGACGGGUAGCCCGCCUGAGAGGGUUACCGGCCACAUGGGGACUGAGGUACGGCGCAGACUGCUACGGGAGGCAGCAGUGGGGAAUAUUGCACAAUGGGCGGAAGCCUGAUGCAGCAACGCCGCGUGCGGGAUGACGGCCUUCGGGUUGUAAACCGCUUUCGCCUGUGACGAAGCGUGAGUGACGGUAAUGGGUAAAGAAGCACCGGCUAACUACGUG
rnacentral:rRNA from 1 species